rnacentral:rRNA from 1 species
GACGAACGCUGGCGGCGUGCUUAACACAUGCAAGUCGAACGGAAAGGCCCUGCUUUUGUGGGGUGCUCGAGUGGCGAACGGGUGAGUAACACGUGAGUAACCUGCCCUUGACUUUGGGAUAACUUCAGGAAACUGGGGCUAAUACCGGAUAGGAGCUCCUGCUGCAUGGUGGGGGUUGGAAAGUUUCGGCGGUUGGGGAUGGACUCGCGGCUUAUCAGCUUGUUGGUGGGGUAGUGGCUUACCAAGGCUUUGACGGGUAGCCGGCCUGAGAGGGUGACCGGCCACAUUUGGACUGGGAUACGGCCCAGACGCCUUCGGGAGGCAGCAGUGGGGAAUAUUGCACAAUGGGCGGAAGCCUGAUGGAGGAACGCCGGGUGGGGGAAGACGGCCUUCGGGUUGGAAACCGCUUUCGCCUGUGACGAAGCGUGAGUGACGGGAAUGGGGAAAGAAGCACCGGCUAACUACGU